GUGGGAUGUGACACAUCCUAGUACAACGAAUCUGGACAGUAAUUUGUCCAGAUUCGUUGUACUAGGAUGUGUCACAUCCCAC
rfam:Oryza sativa Japonica Group DNA, chromosome 3, cultivar: Nipponbare, complete sequence.